UCUAUCGUCCGUCUGCCGCCGGGGAUGCAGCUGCUGCAGAGAUGGAGUUGAAGCACAAAAACAACAAAGUGUCGGACAGAGUUUGAGACAAAGAGAGGGGGUCGAGCGGGUCGAGCGGGUCGAGCGGGUCGAGCGGGUACCCGGAUGGAUUGUUGUUGAAUUGAAGAGAAAAAGGAAAAUAAAUCGUGAAGAAUGAAGCUGCUGAAGCCGAGCUGGGUGAGCCACAACGGCAAACCCAUAUUUUCUGUUGACAUCCACCCUGAUGGAACGAAGUUUGCAACCGGUGGUCAAGGAGAGGAUUCUGGAAAGGUGAUGAUCUGGAACAUGGCGCCGGUCCUCAGAGAGGAGGACGAGAAGAACGAGAAUAUUCCCAAAAUGCUUUGCCAGAUGGACAAUC